rnacentral:rRNA from 1 species
AAUGAGAAUUAAAUAGCUGCAGUAUUUUGACUGUACAAAGGUAGCAUAAUCAUUAGUUUCUUAAUUAGAAGCUUGUAUGAAGGGUCUGAUGAGAAAGUAACUGUCUUAAUUUAAAUUUUAAUGAAUUUUAUUUUUAAGUUAAAAAGCUUAAAUGAUGUUAAAAGACGAGAAGACCCUAUAGAGUUUAAUAGUUUUAUAAAUUUUAAAUUGAGGAAUUUUUAUUUUAUAAUAUAUAUAAAAUUAUUUUGUUGGGGUGAUGGAGAAAUUUACUUAACUUUUUUUUUAUUAUUUCAUUUAUUUAUGUUUAAAUGAUCCAUAUAAGUGAUUAAAAGAUAAAAUUACCUUAGGGAUAACAGCGUAAUUUUUUUGGAGAGUUCUUAUCGAUAAAAAAGUUUGCGACCUCGAUGUUGGAUUAAAAUUUAUUAUUGGUGCAGAAGCUAAUAUAUUAAGUCUGUUCGACUUUUGAAAUUUUACAUGAUCUGAGUUUAAACCGGUGUAAGCCAGGUUGGUUUCUAUCUUUAAUAUAAAAGUUUAUUUUAGUACGAAAGGACCAAAUAUUAUUAAAAUUUAAUUUAUGUUUGAAUAAGAUUGUUACUUUGGCAGAUUAGUGCAUUAAAUUUAGAAUUUAAAUAUGUAGAAUUUACAGGUAAUACUUGAUUUUUAUAGAUAUCAUUUUGAUAUUAGUAAGUAGACUAAUUUUAAUUAUUUGUGUUUUAGUGGGAGUA